GGAAGGCUCUGCCAUCUAUCUUGGGCCCUUCACAACCACUGGCAAAUUGUAGCAAUCAUCAGCUCCCUCUCUAAUGGUAUUCAAGGCCUGUCACCGCUCCCCCAGCCUCUGAGGCUGGGUGCAAUCUGCCAUUUAGCCACCAAAGAGGAGCGCGUUUCUCAGGCUGUUAAUGGCAAGCUCUCAAGGCAAAGGGAGAGCCGGCUCAUGAAUACCAACAUAACUCUCUCAUAUUGACCUGUCUGCGUUCCCAUAACCUGAGAAGAAAAAAAAACCUGCCCUCCAGGCAUCUAUUCACCACGUCACGUUUUCCUUUUGAAAGUUUUUCAAGGGAAAGUGUUCCAUCCCUUGGAUCAUUUUUGUGGCUGUCCUCUGGACAUGCUCCACAACUCUCCUGCACUGAGGACUCCACAUCUGGAUGCAGUAUGCCAGGUUAAACAGUGGACAUUUUACUCUCUAAACUCUGAAGCUGUGUGUGUGUGUCAGCUUCCAGUUUGACAGAUGCAGCCACAGUAAUAUCACUGGAUCUCCUUGAGAGAAGCUGUCACCAUAAGCGAAGCAGUCACAGACACCAGCCUGAACCCUCCAUAAACCUUCAAGUGGCUUUGCUUGGAAAACUCAGAACCACACCAACAUUGUGACUUCUUUUAGGCACCAUCAACUGGAAUUCCUUGAAGCCUUUUGCUUCAUUCUCAAUGUUUCUGAAGCAGAGAUCUACACAGAUACUGGACAAACCGUUUACCUAUUGACAGGCUUGGGAGGGCAGCUAUUUUCUUAACGAGGACAUAGAUAUAUAGCAAUUUUUGAAAGAAGAUGCCUUAAGAAUGCAACUGUGAUUUCUUUCCAUGUAAUAAUGCAUAUUCUUAGCUAGUAUAAAGCCACAGGGUACCAUCAAGUUUUGUCAUGUAACUGUUAGAAUACAAUUUCAUAGAACUGAUUCUUCUUCCAAGAGGCUCCCUAUGAAUGCUGCAUGAAACCUAAAUGAUAAUGAUGUAUCCGAUACAUCUCCAUUUUCACAUUUUCUCUGCCAACUACAGAAUCUCUAAUCACAAUUUUUAAACAUCUGUGCCUAAGUUUAGUGUAACUAAAAAAGCAAUGGUGAUGAUAAUAACCAAAGCCAAAAGUGUAUGGUAUACAAAAUUCUGUUUUACUCAGCCUUAUCCAAUUUACUCGUCACAAUCCCCAAUUUCUACUGCCUCGUCAGAAUUCAAUGGCUGCUUUUCCGAAGCUCUAAAGAGAAUCGUAGCGUUGAUUAUCUUUUGGCUGCUGGCAUCUGACUGCUCCACAUUAACUCUAAGAAUUUCCUGCUCAAAGUCAGAUCAUACUUACUUUGGGCUUUAAGUUUUUUUGGUAUUGUUGUUCAUUUGUAAAUUUGACCAACUUUUAUCACGAGUGUGUUCCAGCCUCUGACUGGGUCUCUAAGGUACAAGCCCUGUAACCUCUAGAUAUGACUGCACUUUAACGUGAAUGCCAUAAGCCACUCUCAUCCUGAAGACAAGGCCUAUAGCAGAGAAAUACGGGGGCCAUGCCCCAGGCUCAGUUAAAUGUCAGGAAAACAUAAAUGUGUUCUGCUCCUAUAGCUCAUCAUUCAAACCUCUGUUCAAGCGAGACAUGUUGAUUAGAACUAUUUGUACAAGAGCUUCUUAAAUUCAAAUGAUCUAAAUUAAACAACAACUUCAACCUGCUCAGGUGUUUUGUUUAGUUUCCCUGUAAGUGAAGAGUUUAUUCACAAAGAAUCACAGAAUAACCCGAUGUGGAAGGGUUCAUUGAAACUAACCCCUGGUUUCACACAAGACUGCCCAAAAACAAAC
ensembl:lncRNA